AGGGGCGUCGUUCAAUGGUAGGACGCGGGUCUCCAAAACCUGCAAUGGGAGUUCGAUUCUCUCCGCCCCUGCUA
rnacentral:tRNA from 1 species